AAAAAGCAAUGACAACAAUAUAUAAGAUAAAAAACUGACGUCGUUCAAAGCGAGUAAAGUUCAAACGGUUACUGAAACACCGUAACUUACGAGAAAUGGCUGAAACCAAGAAGUAAACAUUACAACUUUCUGUUAUCCGCAGCAAGCAGAUUGCAGAUUUUUAAUAUAAAAUCAUACUUUUUCAUACUUACUACCUGCGACUUGCAGAGAUCUAUUUAAAAAUGUAAAUCCAAUCGCUAAUGAUCUUUUAAUAAUGCGAUCUGGCUAUCUUUCAUCAUUGAAUUACUUUUAUUAUUUCUUGAAUCUUCUUGAAAAAAUGUGACUCGUCGCCCGCGAUUUAAUAGUCUUAUAAUAAAUUUAAAAGCUGCAAAAUCUGUACAACGCAAUUCAUGUCAAGACGUAGUAAUUAUUCAUUGUUACGUCUCCUGACUUUGAGGAUGCUCUGGUGAACAAAAUGUGCAUUGUAGUUCCAUUUUGAAAGUUUGCUUGAUAUGGAGUAUAAAGAUUGAAGUAAUUAUAUAUGGUGCACAUACAGAUUUUUUCUAUAUGAUGAUUGAUCUAAAAUGCCUUUAAUAUGUUAUAAAACCUGACAUGCUUAUGCCUUUCAGCUCUUUACAAAAAAUUAAUAAAGGUAGAUUGAUUAAUAAUUGCAGACUCUGUCUAAGACUCUACUAGAAGACUAGGAAACGAAUAGAAGUAGAAUAAAUUAUGCCAAAGACAUCAAAACUAUUCUGAAUAUUGAGGUUAAGACAGAAUGAUGGAAAACCGAAGUACAUUUGUGUGAAUUGUGUACAGACACUUUGUAAAGCUGUUGAGUUAAAGCAAGUAGCUGAGGUGACCCAAUGGAGGUUAGCACAAGAGGCUGAGAUGGGUAAUGAAGAACAAAGAUAUUAACAUCAGUAUAAAAGCCAGGUUAUACGAUGUUGCAAUUCUCCCAUGCUUAAUUUAUGGAUGCCAAACAUGGACACUUAGAAUAGCGGAUGAGGAGAAAAUUGUGGUAUGCCAAAGGAAAAUGGAAAGGAGCAUGCUGGGGGUAAAGUU